UUGGAGGGCAAGUCUGGUGCCAGCAGCCGCGGUAAUUCCAGCUCCAAUAGCGUAUAUUAAAGUUGUUGCAGUUAAAAAGCUCGUAGUUGAAUUUCGGGAUCAGAUUGUCGGUCGUGCCUCGGUACGCACUGGCAUUAUUGGUUCCUACCUUCUGAAGAACCGCGAUGUCAUUAAUUUGGUGUCGUGGGGAAUCAGGACUGUUACUUUGAAAAAAUUAGAGUGUUUAAAGCAGGCUUACGCUUGAAUACAUUAGCAUGGAAUAAUGAAAUAGGACGUUUGAUUCUAUUUUGUUGGUUUCUAGGAUUGACGUAAUGAUUAAUAGGGAUAGUUGGGGGCAUUAGUAUUCAAUUGUCAGAGGUGAAAUUCUUGGAUUUAUUGAAGACUAACUACUGCGAAAGCAUUUGCCAAGGAUGUUUUCAUUAAUCAAGAACGAAAGUUAGGGGAUCGAAGACGAUCAGGUACCGUCGUAGUCUUAACCAUAAACUAUGCCGACUAGGGAUCGGAUGAUGUUAAUUUUUUAAUGACUCAUUCGGCGCCUUACGGGAAAC
rnacentral:rRNA from 1 species